rnacentral:tRNA from 1 species
GGAAGGGUGGCCGAGCGGCUGAAGGCGGCGGUUUGCUAAACCGUUAUACGAUCGAAAAGUCGUAUCGAGGGUUCGAAUCCCUCUCCUUCCG